UUGUUUGCUGGUGGAGCAUCAUCAAGAUUCACAAGCUUUAGAGGGCUUUUGUUUGAGGCGUGGUCCCUUUGUUGUUCCAAAACAACUAGCCCUUGUGAUAUGAGAAUCUUGAUGAUGCUGCAGUGGCAAUAGA
rfam:Lupinus angustifolius cultivar Tanjil chromosome LG04, whole genome shotgun sequence.